UACAGAGGGUGCGAGCGUUGUCCGGAAUCAUUGGGCGUAAAGGGCGCGUAGGUGGCCCGGUCAGUCCGUGGUGAAAGCGCGGGGCUCAACCCUGCGUCGGCCAUGGAUACUGCCGCGGCUGGAGCACUGUAGAGGCAGGCGGAAUUCCGGGUGUAGCGGUGGAAUGCGUAGAGAUCCGGAAGAACACCGACGGCGCAGGCAGCGUCCUGGCCGCUUGCUGACACUGAGGCACGAAAGCUGGGGGAGCAAACAGG
rnacentral:rRNA from 1 species